UACGUAGGGUCCGAGCGUUGUCCGGAAUUAUUGGGCGUAAAGGGCUCGUAGGCGGUCUGUCACGUCGGGAGUGAAAUCUUACAGCUUAACUGUGAACUUGCUUUCGAUACGGGCAGACUUGAGGCAUUCAGGGGAGAACGGAAUUCCUGGUGUAGCGGUGAAAUGCGCAGAUAUCAGGAGGAACACCUGUGGUGUAGACAGCUUACUGGACCACUUCUGACACUGAGACACGAAAGCGUGGGUAGCAAACAGG
rnacentral:rRNA from 1 species